rnacentral:misc_RNA from 1 species
UCCGAGUUGACCCCGGCAGUCUCCUAUGAGUCCCCACCAUCACGUGCUGGCAACAUAGAACGAGGGUUGCGCUCGUUGCGGGACUUAACCCAACAUCUCACGACACGAGCUGACGACAGCCAUGCAGCACCUGUGUCCACGCCCCUUGCGGGGAGGAACCCGUCUCCGGGAACCGUCGUGGCAUGUCAAGGGCAGGUAAGGUUCUUCGCGUUGCAUCGAAUUAGGCCACAUGCUCCGCCGCUUGUGCGGGUCCCCGUCAAUUCCUUUGAGUUUUAGCCUUGCGGCCGUACUCCCCAGGCGGGGUGCGUAACGCGUUAGCUGCGGCGCAGAGCCCGUGGAUUAGGCCCCACACCUAGCACCCAUCGUUUACGGCGUGGACUAC